rnacentral:tRNA from 2 species
AUGCUUGUUAAAAAAUAAUUUUACUGAGUUGUGGUUUCAGAAAUAUAGAAAUUCUAUCAAUCAUC